rnacentral:rRNA from 1 species
AACGAACGCUGGCGGCAGGCUUAACACAUGCAAGUCGAACGAACCUUUUAGGUGAGUGGCGCACGGGUGCGUAACGCGUGGGAAUAUGCCCUUGAGUGAGGAAUAACGUAGAGAAAUUUGCGCUAAUACCUCAUAAUGACUCCGGUCCAAAGAUUUAUCGCUCAAGGAUUAGCCCGCGUCAGAUUAGAUAGUUGGUGAGGUAACGGCUCACCAAGUCGACGAUCUGUAGGGGGUCUGAGAGGAUGAUCCCCCACACUGGUACUGAGACACGGACCAGACUCCUACGGGAGGCAGCAGUGAGGAAUAUUGGACAAUGGAGGAAACUCUGAUCCAGCCAUGCCGCGUGAGUGAAGAAGGCCUUAGGGUUGUAAAGCUCUUUCAAUUGCGAAGAUAAUGACGGUAACAAUAGAAGAAGCUCCGGCU